rnacentral:rRNA from 1 species
GACGAACGCUGGCGGCGUGCUUAACACAUGCAAGUCGAACGGAAAGGCCCUGCUUUUGUGGGGUGCUCGAGUGGCGAACGGGUGAGUAACACGUGAGUAACCUGCCCUUGACUUUGGGAUAACUUCAGGAAACUGGGGCUAAUACCGGAUAGGAGCUCCUGCUGCAUGGUGGGGGUUGGAAAGUUUCGGCGGUUGGGGAUGGACUCGCGGCUUAUCAGCUUGUUGGUGGGGUAGUGGCUUACCAAGGCUUUGACGGGUAGCCGGCCUGAGAGGGUGACCGGCCACAUUGGGACUGAGAUACGGCCCAGACUCCUACGGGAGGCAGCAGUGGGGAAUAUUGCACAAUGGGCGGAAGCCUGAUGCAGCAACGCCGCGUGCGGGAUGACGGCCUUCGGGUUGUAAACCGCUUUCGCCUGUGACGAAGCGUGAGUGACGGUAAUGGGUAAAGAAGCACCGGCUAACUACGUGCCAGCAGCCGCGGUGAUACGUAGGGUGCGAGCGUUGUCCGGAUUUAUUGGGCGUAAAGGGCUCGUAGGUGGUUGAUCGCGUCGGAAGUGUAAUCUUGGGGCUUAACCCUGAGCGUGCUUUCGAUACGGGUUGACUUGAGGAAGGUAGGGGAGAAUGGAAUUCCUGGUGGAGCGGUGGAAUGCGCAGAUAUCAGGAGGAACACCAGUGGCGAAGGCGGUUCUCUGGGCCUUUCCUGACGCUGAGGAGCGAAAGCGUGGGGAGCGAACUGGCUUAGAUACCCUGGUAGUCCACGCUGUAAACGGUGGGUACUAGGUGUGGGGUCCAUUCCACGGGUUCCGUGCCGUAGCUAACGCUUUAAGUACCCCGCCUGGGGAGUACGGCCGCAGGGCUAAAACUCAAAGGAAUUGACGGGGCCCCGCACAAGCGGCGGAGCAUGCGGAUUAAUUCGAUGCAACGCGUAGAACCUUACCUGGGUUUGACAUGGAUCGGGAGUGCUCAGAGAUGGGUGUGCCUCUUUUGGGGUCGGUUCACAGGUGGUGCAUGGCUGUCGUCAGCUCGUGUCGUGAGAUGUUGGGUUAAGUCCCGCAACGAGCGCAACCCUUGUUCACUGUUGCCAGCACGUUAUGGUGGGGACUCAGUGGAGACCGCCGGGGUCAACUCGGAGGAAGGUGGGGAUGACGUCAAGUCAUCAUGCCCCUUAUGUCCAGGGCUUCACGCAUGCUACAAUGGCUGGUACAGAGAGUGGCGAGCCUGUGAGGGUGAGCGAAUCUCGGAAAGCCGGUCUCAGUUCGGAUUGGGGUCUGCAACUCGACCUCAUGAAGUCGGAGUCGCUAGUAAUCGCAGAUCAGCAACGCUGCGGUGAAUACGUUCCCGGGGCU